UGAUUGCGACUAAACCUCGUGGUUGAAAUUCAACCCUGUGGAGAAACUCCAACAUGGUGGCUUGUCCUUCCAGCCUAAGCGACUGAUGUCUCAACUCUUAAUUGACAACACAAACCAGCGAGAUUGAUGUGACCGACUCCUGAAUGUGCCAGCAGAUACACAGCACUAGAUUACUAACAGAAGCACUCAAAUAAACAAAUGUCUUUCACAUUUCAACUCUUAGUGACAACACAGCGAGACUGACUACUGCAUGCGUAUGUGGAGGUGCAAUACAAACUCUAUAUCAUUAUAAUUUUUAUGGACUGAACAGUGCAGUGUUGGAAGCAAGCACACGUUAGACAAGUCUUAACUCUGCAAGAGUGUACUGGAGCUAGGUUGUUUCCCAAGGGGUAGUCACUCCAAUGCCAUUGAAAUUUGUAAACAAGAGUCUCUACAGUAUGAUGGGAGUUCAAUGAAGUUUUGGAUAACACCUGCAUGUCUUGUUGUUAUUGUCUGUUGGUCACCACCUGGGCACUCCCCUGGACUCUGAGACAACCCUCAGUUGUGAGAAACUGAUGAAAUAAUAAUGGUCUGUUGCUUGCAAGUUCGUUUCCCGUUUCUAUGCUAUCAAGAUCGUGACAGAAAUGAAAGUAGUGUGACUGUCUCUCUUCCUUCGACUAAGCUCUGUACGUAUCAGGUGAAAUAAAUACAGAUAUUACACUUUGCCCAUUCACUGUCCAUUAGUGCAUGCAAAGUAAUGUCCCACUGCAAGGUAUCUAAGUUUGUUCAUCAUUGUUAGAAUAUUCCAUAGAGAAGAAACGCUCUCGAUGUUUCAAUGCUUAUACAUAAUUAUAUGAUUGAUUUUGAUGGGGUACACACUCAGAACAAGUGUUAUGGGCAAAGUGUAUGACUGUCAGGGUUCUAUCUGUUUUAUUGUUUGGGAGAAGGUAAAUUGAAUAUAAAGGAAGUUUGGAGAGGGUCCCCCUAUAGGGAACAUUUUUCAUAUGGAUUCUCAGAAUGAAAGCCUGAUGCCAUUUAUAUAGCUUUUGAAAUUAAGAAUUUGCAGAUAGUAAAGUAUCCUCUGUAUAAUGCCUAUAGGGGGUUCGAGAGCUGGAAUCCCCCUCCUGCAUGUUAGUAUAUAAUCUUUCCAUCAAAAUGGAAAACGUUGAAGACCAGAGCUAUAGUUGAAGAUGAUCGGUUUUUGAAAGAUUUCCACACAUGGUGGUAGCCACAUUAAUAAGAGUUGCACCUUGCCAACCUCUGAGCCCUCCUAUACUUGUCUAAAAUUGCUACGCCUUGCACUAUUGCAUGUCUUAAAUCAGAUAGGAUACUGAGUGACAUUGGUGUGUUAACGUAACCCCAUGUUGUAAGGACAACAAUGGAGGAAAUGCUAGAUCCAAUAAAGCCAAUGCUAUUGUGUGGUUAAUUAGCAAUUGUCCAGUUCAUUCUUAUGGCAACAGUAGGAGGACAAGUGCUGUGGUCGACUUCCCUCAUGACCCCUUUAAACAAUCCAACAAACUAAAACUUACCGGGGGAGUUCGUAGUAGCUGCUUGGAAGUUUUCUGAACGGGGGUGGUUGUUCUAAAAGUAUUUUCAUGGUAUAAAGGCAAAUAAACAAAUAAUUC